rnacentral:rRNA from 2 species
AAACCAACAGGGAUUACCUCAGUAACGGCGAGUGAAGCGGUAAGAGCUCAAAUUUGAAAGCUGGCUCCUUCGGGGUCCGCAUUGUAAUUUGCAGAGGAUGUUUCGGGAGCAGCCCCCAUCUAAGUGUCCUGGAACGGACCGUCAUAGAGGGUGAGAAUCCCGUAUGGGAUGGGGUGUCUGCGCCCAUGUGAAACUCCUUCGACGAGUCGAGUUGUUUGGGAAUGCAGCUCUAAAUGGGUGGUAAAUUUCAUCUAAAGCUAAAUAUUGGCCGGAGACCGAUAGCGCACAAGUAGAGUGAUCGAAAGAUGAAAAGCACUUUGAAAAGAGAGUUAAAAAGCACGUGAAAUUGUUGAAAGGGAAGCGCUUGCGAUCAGACUCGCCUUGGGGGUUCAGCCGGCAUUCGUGCCGGUGUACUUCCCCCAGGGCGGGCCAGCGUCGGUUUGGGUGGCCGGUCAAAGGCCCUUGGAAUGUAACGCCUCUCGGGGCGUCUUAUAGCCAAGGGUGCCAUGCGGCCUACCUGGACCGAGGAACGCGCUUCGGCUCGGACGCUGGCAUAAUGGUCGUAAGCGAC